AUUGAACGCUGGCGGCAGGCCUAACACAUGCAAGUCGAACGGUAGCACAGAGAGCUUGCUCUUGGGUGACGAGUGGCGGACGGGUGAGUAAUGUCUGGGAAACUGCCUGAUGGAGGGGGAUAACUACUGGAAACGGUAGCUAAUACCGCAUAACGUCGCAAGACCAAAGAGGGGGACCUUCGGGCCUCUUGCCAUCAGAUGUGCCAGAUGGGAUUAGCUAGUAGGUGGGGUAACGGCUCACCUAGGCGACGAUCCCUAGCUGGUCUGAGAGGAUGACCAGCCACACUGGAACUGAGACACGGUCCAGACUCCUACGGGAGCAGCAGUGGGGAAUAUUGCACAAUGGGCGCAAGCCUGAUGCAGCCAUGCCGCGUGUAUGAAGAAGGCCUUGGUGUAAGUACUUUCAGCGAGGAGGAAGGCGA
rnacentral:rRNA from 1 species